GCCCGGGUGGCGGAAUGGUAGACGCGACUGACUCAAAAUCUGUUGGCCGAAAGGUCGUAGGGGUUCGAAUCCCCUUCCGGGUA
rnacentral:tRNA from 1 species